GUCCAUACCUCAGUGGUAGACCAUUUGCUUUGAAUGCAGAGGGUCCCACUUUCAAUCCCUGGGGUCUGCA